GACGAACGCUGGCGGCGUGCCUAAUACAUGCAAGUUGAGCGAUGAAGCUUGGUGCUUGCACCAAUUUGAAGAGCAGCGAACGGGUGAGUAACGCGUGGGGAAUCUGCCUUUGAGCGGGGGACAACAUUUGGAAACGAAUGCUAAUACCGCAUAAUAACUUUAAACAUAAGUUUUAAGUUUGAAAGAUGCAAUUGCAUCACUCAAAGAUGAUCCCGCGUUGUAUUAGCUAGUUGGUGAGGUAAAGGCUCACCAAGGCGAUGAUACAUAGCCGACCUGAGAGGGUGAUCGGCCACAUUGGGACUGAGACACGGCCCAAACUCCUACGGGAGGCAGCAGUAGGGAAUCUUCGGCAGUGGACGAAAGUCUGACCGAGCAACGCCGCGUGAGUGAAGAAGGUUGUCGGAUCGUAAAACUCUGUUGGUAGAGAAGAACGUUGGUGAGAGUGGAAAGCUCAUCAAGUGACGGUAACUACCCAGAAAGGGACGGCCAACUACGUG
rnacentral:rRNA from 1 species